rnacentral:rRNA from 1 species
UACGUAGGGUGCGAGCGUUAAUCGGAAUUCUGGGCGUAAAGCGUGCGCAGGCGGUUCGUUGUGUCGGCGGUGAAAGCCCCGGGCUCAACCUGGGAGGGUCGUCGUGGACUGCACCGGCUUGAGGGCGGUAGGGGCUGGUGGAAUGCCUGGUGUAAGUGGUGAAAUGCGUAGAGAUCAGGCGGAACACCCGUGGCGAAGGCGGCCAGCGUGGGCCGUCCCUGACGCUGAGGCG